rnacentral:lncRNA from 1 species
UAUCCACCAGUUGCUCCGCAUGUUCGAUAUCUGCGCUAAUCUCCCCAAAAUCUUACAAAGCGGCACCCAACAGCAUUUCAUGCGCCGAUAGCUCUUCGGCUUGCUUGAGAAGAGUUUCACCUGGAGUACAACAUUAUAUACCCAAGGUCAGUCAAAAACAAUAUAGAGGUGGAAGUAAAGAAGCUGAAGCAACUCUGCAAAGGACGGCUCGUGCUGGAAGAACAUGUCGAUCGAGGCUAGGGUUUUGAAAGAGGAGAUGCAAGAGGGGUUCACCAUUGUUUACUUUUCAUGCCGGCGGAAGAUGGUGUAAGACCGUCGACUAUUUGGGAA